GAUGAACGCUGGCGGCGUGCCUAAUACAUGCAAGUCGAGCGAACGGACGAGAAGCUUGCUUCUCUGAUGUUAGCGGCGGACGGGUGAGUAACACGUGGAUAACCUACCUAUAAGACUGGGAUAACUUCGGGAAACCGUAGCUAAUACCGGAUAAUAUUUUGAACCGCAUGGUUCAAAAGUGAAAGACGGUCUUGCUGUCACUUAUAGAUGGAUCCGCGCUGCAUUAGCUAGUUGGUAAGGUAACGGCUUACCAAGGCAACGAUGCAUAGCCGACCUGAGAGGGGGAUCGGCCACACUGGAACUGAGACACGGUCCAGACUCCUAAGGGAGGCAGCAGUAGGGAAUCUUCCGCAAUGGGCGAAAGCCUGACGGAGCAACGCCGCGUGAGUGAUGAAGGUCUUCGGAUCGUAAAACUCUGUUAUUAGGGAAGAACAUAUGUGUAAGUAACUGUGCACAUCUUGACGGUACCUAAUCAGAAAGCCACGGCUAACUACGUG
rnacentral:rRNA from 1 species